rnacentral:misc_RNA from 1 species
UAUAUAUAUUUUUUUUUUGGAGGGGGAUAGGGAUACCGUUUAAUGGCUCUUCUUUUUGCAAUUUUUUCUUACUUAUUGUUGUGUCAAAUUCUAAUUUUUAUAUGCAAGUUUUGCCACUUAAAAUUUAUAGUUUAUAUGGCUGUGCAUUUUUCUUUGGUAAUGAAGCACUACAAAGCAUUGCUUUGCUGUGCCAUUUGAUUCAUCUCAUAUGUAACCACAUGUGCACUGUUGGCAUUCACUUUCCACUUGCUAUCCACUUCUUAAGAUCAAAGAGUUGGAAGGGAAGGGAGGGGGAUGGUUAGGAAUGGCCUUGAAGACUGCAUAUUUGCGAUUUUUUCUUAGUUUAUGUUGUUGGAUCAAACCCUAAUUUUUGUCACAUAUAACAUUUAUAAUUUAUAUUGUUUUGCAUUUUUUUUGGAUAGGUGAAGCACUACAAGGCAUUGUUUUGCUUUACCACUUGUUUCAUCCAAUGCAUAACAUGUUCCUUGUUGUUGUUGACUUUUCAAUUGCUAACGACCUCUUAAGAUAAGGGAGUGGCCCUAACUCUGCUUCUCUCCAAUGAUUGUGUUGCAUCUGAUCGACUGUUGAGGCUAAAGUUAAUUGAUGGGAGAGAGUUAGGAGCAUUAGACUUUACCAUGAUGACCCACCAUUGUCUGUUUGUUCAUUGGUUGGUAGGUUAUAUUUUGUGGUAAACAACAGUUGACUUUUGAUGGUAUCGAUAUAAAAGAACAGUAGUUAGCUGGGACAAUCAAGUGGUAGUUGUGCAUAGGUAAUAGGGCGAUGAUUGCAUAACGACCAUUCUACGAAGAUGGUUUUGUUGGCUCUAAAUCCAUGUUCAUUAUGUUGGUUAAUAUCUGUCCAUGCCAAACAUGUACACUGAUAUGCUGAAGCUGGGGCUACUUGAAGAAGUUUAGCAUAUAAUAGUGGUUUAGAGGAAGAGGGGAGAGAGAGAGAGAGAGA